AGAGUUGUAUUUAAAUAUAAUAUUUGAUUUGCAAUCAAAAGGUAUCCUAGGAUUAACUUUA
rnacentral:tRNA from 1 species